ensembl:lncRNA
CAGGAGAACCAACUCUGCAUACUUCUACAUCAUUAAGUCUUCUUAAGUCAGUUCCUCAACAGAUCUGCACAAAACGAAGAGUUCCCCAGGUCUAUUUCAGUGUACGUCUCGCUGCUUGCUCUGUGAUGGUGCAUUGGCUGCUAUACUCACUCUUCCCUGCGGGGGGGGGGGCUCGUAUCUCAAUUCAACCGUGGCAUUGGACGGCAGGACAUUAGCAUUGGUGCGAAGUAACGUGGACUAAUGCUCUGGCGUUAUCAUCCUGCUACGGAGGUCCGUUCACCAGGACCAGCAAUCGUUGCUUUAACAUGGAAAACAGAUGAAAAGACCAAGAAUGACCUCCAGAUGGAAAAGCAGCCACACGUGUGGAAACUGUGUACGUGUGCAUCGGCGUUCGGGUCUGCCGUGAGAAGCGUGUGACUGACAGAAUGAGGUCACCUCUGAUGGGGGGACCUGAGUGCGAGGAUGCCGACCUCCACAUACCACUUUUGCUCGUUACCCAAUGUUUCCCCUGCAUACAUCCAGCAGUACUGCAGUAACGCCGCUGGAAAGAUAGUGCCACUGCAAUCAGCCAUGUGAAAAAUAAACCAUUGUUUAUUUGAAAUUAUGUUGAGCGUCCUGAAUGUUUUUU